AGAUAGCUAGAUUUGCGUUAGGGAUUGAUGCGGCAUCCUUUUUGUGCUUUUGUAAAUGGCACAAAAAGAUACAGCGGAAAGCCCGCUCGAAC
rnacentral:sRNA from 1 species